GACAUGACGAGCACGCCGCGUGAGGAAGAAGGUUUUCGGAUUGUAAACUUCUGUUAUAAAGGAAGAACGGCGGCUACAGGAAAUGGUAGCCGAGUGACGGUACUUUAUUAGAAAGCCACGGCUAACUACGUGCCAGCAGCCGCGGUAAUACGUAGGUGGCAAGCGUUAUCCGGAAUUAUUGGGCGUAAAGAGGGAGCAGGCGGCAGCAAGGGUCUGUGGUGAAAGCCUGAAGCUUAACUUCAGUAAGCCAUAGAAACCAGGCAGCUAGAGUGCAGGAGAGGAUCGUGGAAUUCCAUGUGUAGCGGUGAAAUGCGUAGAUAUAUGGAGGAACACCAGUGGCGAAGGCGACGAUCUGGCCUGCAACUGACGCUCAGUCCCGAAAGCGUGGGGAGCAAAUAGGAUUAGAUACC
rnacentral:rRNA from 1 species